rnacentral:rRNA from 1 species
AUUGAACGCUGGCGGCAGGCCUAACACAUGCAAGUCGAGCGAGCGGCGGACGGGUGAGUAAUGUCUGGGAAACUGCCUGAUGGAGGGGGAAAACUAGUGGAAACGGUAGCUAAUACCGCAUACCAUCAGAUGUGGCCAGAUGGGAUGAGGUAGUAGGUGGGGUAACGGCUCACCUAGGCGACGAUCCCUAGCUGGUCUGAGAGGGUGACCGGCCAGACUGGAACUGAGACACGGUCCAGACUCCUACGGGAGGCAGCAGUGGGGAAUAUUGCACAAUGGGCGCAAGCCUGAUGCAGCCAUGCCGCGUGUGUGAAGAAGGCCUUCGGGUUGUAAAGUACUUUCAGCGGGGAGGCGUUACCCGCAGAAGAAGCACCGGCUAACUCCGUGCCAGCAGCCGCGGUAAUUC